rnacentral:rRNA from 1 species
ACUCGAGUGGCGAACGGGUGAGUAACACGUGGGUGAUCUGCCCUGCACUUCGGGAUAAGCUUGGGAAACUGGGUCUAAUACCGGAUAGGAGCCAUCUUUAGUGUGGUGGUUGGAAAGUUUUUUCGGUGUAGGAUGAGCUCGCGGCCUAUCAGCUUGUUGGUGGGGUAAUGGCCUACCAAGGCGGCGACGGGUAGCCGGCCUGAGAGGGUGUACGGCCACAUUGGGACUGAGAUACGGCCCAGACUCCUACGGGAGGCAGCAGUGGGGAAUAUUGCACAAUGGGCGCAAGCCUGAUGCAGCGACGCCGCGUGGGGGAUGAAGGCCUUUGGGUUGUAAACUCCUUUCGCUAGGGACGAAGCUUUGUUGUGACGGUACCUAGAUAAGAAGCACCGGCUAACUACGUGCCAGCAGCCGCGGUAAUGCGUAGGGUGCGAGCGUUGUCCGGAAUUACUGGGCGUAAAGGGCUCGUAGGUGGUUUGUCGCGUCGUCUGUGAAAUUCUGGGGCUUAACUCCGGGCGUGCAGGCGAUACGGGCAUAACUUGAGUGCUGUAGGGGUAACUGGAAUUCCUGGUGUAGCGGUGAAAUGCGCAGAUAUCAGGAGGAACACCGAUGGCGAAGGCAGGUUACUGGGCAGUUACUGACGCUGAGG